rnacentral:rRNA from 1 species
UACGUAGGGCGCAAGCGUUGUCCGGAAUUAUUGGGCGUAAAGAGCUCGUAGGCGGUUUGUCGCGUCUGCUGUGAAAACUCGAGGCUCAACCUCGGGCUUGCAGUGGGUACGGGCAGACUAGAGUGCGGUAGGGGUGACUGGAAUUCCUGGUGUAGCGGUGGAAUGCGCAGAUAUCAGGAGGAACACCGAUGGCGAAGGCAGGUCACUGGGCCGCAACUGACGCUGGAGGAGCGAAAGCCGUGGGGAGCAAACAGG